GGAUUGGAGUCUUGAUCAUGG
rnacentral:siRNA from 1 species